GGGAGUGAGAACAAAGAGGGAGUGUCGAUGCCGGUUUUGCUGCCUGUGUUGGCUGUGAGGAGAAUGGAUUGGUUGAUUCUGGGAGUAUAUGAGCUUUGUUUGUACUCCAUUUUCGCUUGAUAGGUUAUCAUCUGAGUCAAGAAAACUGAGUGUUCGUCAUGCUUAACUUGACAGCUUCUGUUGUGUGUUUCAUCACCUUCUGUCUAUAUCAUAACUUUUCAACUUUAAUAGUAAAGCAUGCACAUUCGUGGUGUAUUUGCAUCUUCAAUACUUGGUUUUAUCUCAUAAUUUGUGAAAUUCCUCUCAUGUUAGCAUAAAAGCAAACUCUUCAAAUUUCAAAUCCAGGAUGUGUCAAAUACCAAGGAAAAGAAGGCACAGCUGAAGGAAGAAAUUCGAAAAGGGACAGAAGUUGAGGUUUCUAACAAUGAGGAUGGAUUUCAAGGCUCAUGGUUUGCAGCUACUGUUGUCCAAGUAGUGGCGAAUGGCAAAUUUCUUGUUCGGUAUAAGAGCUUUAAGACAGAUGAUGGUAAAGAGUUCUUGACCAAAGAGAUUGAUGCAGAACACCUAAGGCCUUGUCCCCCUGAAACGUUUAUGGUUGAUUGUUACAGUCUGAAUGACCCAGUUGAUGCUUAUUGGAAUGAAGGAUGGUGUGAAGGUAAGAUAUAUAAGGUGCUGCACGGGGGAAGGUACAAAGUUUACUUCGAGGGUACUGAUGAUAAAAUGGUCUUUGACCACUCUGAUUUAAGGCCACGCCAAGUUUGGAUAGAUGGAACUUGGGUUAUGGCUUCUCAGGCACUCACACAGUGAAGUAUCGUGGAGAGCUUUUGAUUUCAUUACUGGUUUAUGUGUCUUAUGUCCAGCU